AACUAACAAGGAUUCCCCUAGUAACUGCGAGUGAAGCGGGAAAAGCUCAAAUUUAAAAUCUGGCAGUCUUUGGCUGUCCGAGUUGUAAUCUAGAGAAGUAUUAUCCGCGCUGGACCGUGUACAAGUCUCCUGGAAUGGGGCGUCAUAGAGGGUGAGAAUCCCGUCUUUGACACGGACUGCCAGGGCUUUGUGAUGUGCUCUCAAAGAGUCGAGUUGUUUGGGAAUGCAGCUCAAAAUGGGUGGUAAAUUCCAUCUAAAGCUAAAUAUUGGCGAGAGACCGAUAGCGAACAAGUACCGUGAGGGAAAGAUGAAAAGAACUUUGGAAAGAGAGUUAAACAGUACGUGAAAUUGCUGAAAGGGAAACGCUUGAAGUCAGUCGCGUUGGCCAGGGAUCAACCUUGCUUUUGCUUGGCUUACUUUCUGGUUGAUGGGUCAGCAUCAAUUUUGACUGGUAGAAAAAGUUCAAGGGAAUGUGGCAUCUUCGGAUGUGUUAUAGCCUUUGUUCGCAUACAUCAGUUGGGAUUGAGGAACUCAGCACGCCGUAAGGCCGGGUUUUUAACCACGUACGUGCUUAGGAUGCUGGCAUAAUGGCUUUAAUCGACCCGUCUUGAAACACGGACCAAGGAGUCUAACAUGCCUGCGAGUGUUUGGGUGAAAAACCCGAGUGCGUAAUGAAAGUGAAAGUUGAAAUCCCUGUCAUGGGGAGCAUUGACGCCCGGAUCUGACCUUUUGUGACGAUUCUGCGGUAGAGCAUGUAUGUUGGGACCCGAAAGAUGGUGAACUAUGCCUGAAUAGGGUGAAGCCAGAGGAAACUCUGGUGGAGGCUCGUAGCGAUUCUGACGUGCAAAUCGAUCGUCAAAUUUGGGUAUAGGGGCGAAAGACUAAUCG
rnacentral:rRNA from 1 species